rnacentral:lncRNA from 1 species
AUAUAGCAUUCCCCCCCCCCCUUUUUGCAUGUUGGUCAUAAGUCUUUAAUUUUGUCAAUCUCAGGACACGUUCGUCGCAGGAACGGAUACCACUGGAGCGACAACAGAAUGGAUGAUGGCUGAACUCCUACAGCGUCCAAAUGUAAUGAAAAAGGUCCAAGAAGAGGUAAGGAAUGUGGUGGGAAACAUAUAACAAAAAGUAGUUAACAUGGGAAACAUAUGAUAUGGAGGAUACCAAUAAAAUGAAGUACUUAAAAUGUGUGCUCAAAGAAACUUUAAGACUGCAUCCGACUGUUCCUCUUCUUGUUCCUCGACAAACAUCUGUAAGUGUUGAAUUGGGUGGCUACCACAUUCCUUCCAAUAUCACCAUCUUGAUAAAUGCA